AGAGUUUGAUCAUGGCUCAGGACGAACGCUGGCGGCGUGCUUAACACAUGCAAGUCGAACGGAAAGGCCCUUCGGGGUACUCGAGUGGCGAACGGGUGAGUAACACGUGGGUGAUCUGCCCUGCACUUUGGGAUAAGCCUGGGAAACUGGGUCUAAUACCGAAUAGGACCACGCGCUUCAUGGUGUGUGGUGGAAAGCUUUUGCGGUGUGGGAUGGGCCCGCGGCCUAUCAGCUUGUUGGUGGGGUAAUGGCCUACCAAGGCGACGACGGGUAGCCGGCCUGAGAGGGUGACCGGCCACACUGGGACUGAGAUACGGCCCAGACUCCUACGGGAGGCAGCAGUGGGGAAUAUUGCACAAUGGGCGCAAGCCUGAUGCAGCGACGCCGCGUGAGGGAUGACGGCCUUCGGGUUGUAAACCUCUUUCAAUAGGGACGAAGCGCAAGUGACGGUACCUAUAGAAGAAGCACCGGCCAACUACGUGCCAGCAGCCGCGGUAAUACGUAGGGUGCGAGCGUUGUCCGGAAUUACUGGGCGUAAAGAGCUCGUAGGUGGUUUGUCGCGUUGUUCGUGAAAACUCACAGCUUAACUGUGGGCGUGCGGGCGAUACGGGCAGACUAGAGUACUGCAGGGGAGACUGGAAUUCCUGGUGUAGCGGUGGAAUGCGCAGAUAUCAGGAGGAACACCGGUGGCGAAGGCGGGUCUCUGGGCAGUAACUGACGCUGAGGAGCGAAAGCGUGGGUAGCGAACAGGAUUAGAUACCCUGGUAGUCCAA
rnacentral:rRNA from 1 species